rnacentral:rRNA from 1 species
CCUGGCUCAGACGAACGCUGGCGGCGUGCUUAACACAUGCAAGUCGAACGCUGAAGCUUGGUGCUUGCACUGGGUGGAUGAGUGGCGAACGGGUGAGUAAUACGUGAGUAACCUGCCCUUGACUCUGGGAUAAGCCUGGGAAACUGGGUCUAAUACUGGAUACGACGGCGCAUCGCAUGGUGUGUUGUGGAAAGGGUUUUACUGGUUUUGGAUGGGCUCACGGCCUAUCAGCUUGUUGGUGGGGUAAUGGCUCACCAAGGCGACGACGGGUAGCCGGCCUGAGAGGGUGACCGGCCACACUGGGACUGAGACACGGCCCAGACUCCUACGGGAGGCAGCAGUGGGGAAUAUUGCACAAUGGGCGGAAGCCUGAUGCAGCGACGCCGCGUGAGGGAUGACGGCCUUCGGGUUGUAAACCUCUUUCAGCACGGAAGAAGCGAGAGUGACGGUACGUGCAGAAGAAGCGCCGGCUAACUACGUGCCAGCAGCCGCGGUAAUACGUAGGGCGCAAGCGUUGUCCGGAAUUAUUGGGCGUAAAGAGCUCGUAGGCGGUUUGUCGCGUCUGCUGUGAAAGCCCGGGGCUUAACUCCGGGUGUGCAGUGGGUACGGGCAGACUUGAGUGCAGUAGGGG